rnacentral:rRNA from 1 species
CAGUCGCCGCGGUAAUACGUAGGGUGCAAGCGUUAAUCGGAAUUACUGGGCGUAAAGCGUGCGCAGGCGGUUUUGUAAGACAGAGGUGAAAUCCCCGGGCUCAACCUGGGAACUGCCUUUGUGACUGCAAGGCUAGAGUACGGCAGAGGGGGAUGGAAUUCCGCGUGUAGCAGUGAAAUGCGUAGAUAUGCGGAGGAACACCGAUGGCGAAGGCAAUCCCCUGGGCCUGUACUGACGCUCAUGCACGAAAGCGUGGGGAGCAAACAGGAUUAGAUACCCGCGUAGUCCCUGUCUCUUAUAC